rnacentral:rRNA from 1 species
UCUUUCUUUGCUGGCGACCGGCGCACGGGUGAGUAACACGUAUCCAACCUGCCCUUUACUCGGGGAUAGCCUUUCGAAAGAAAGAUUAAUACCCGAUAGUAUAAUGAUUCCGCAUGGUUUCAUUAUUAAAGGAUUCCGGUAAAGGAUGGGGAUGCGUUCCAUUAGGUUGUUGGUGAGGUAACGGCUGACCAAGCCUUCGAUGGAUAGGGGUUCUGAGAGGAAGGUCCCCCACAUUGGAACUGAGACACGGUCCAA